rnacentral:rRNA from 1 species
UACGUAGGGGGCAAGCGUUGUCCGGAUUUAUUGGGCGUAAAGAGCGUGUAGGCGGCCAAACAGGUCAGCUGUGAAAACUCGAGGCUCAACCUCGAGACGUCGGUUGAAACCGUUUGGCUAGAGUCCGGAAGAGGAGAGUGGAAUUCCCGGUGUAGCGGUGAAAUGCGCAGAUAUCGGGAAGAACACCGGUGGCGAAGGCGGCGACCUGGUCCUUGACUGACGCUGAGGCGCGAAAGCGUGGGGAGCAAACAGG